GUCCACGCCGUAAACGAUAUCUACUAGCCGUUGGGUUCCUUGAGGACUUAGUGGCGCAGCUAACGCAAUAAGUAGACCGCCUGGGGAGUACGGUCGCAAGAUUAAAACUCAAAUGAAUUGACGGGGGCCCGCACAAGCGGUGGAGCAUGUGGUUUAAUUCGACGCAACGCGAAGAACCUUACCAGGUCUUGACAUCCAGAGAACUUUCCAGAGAUGGAUUGGUGCCUUCGGGAGCUCUGAGACAGGUGCUGCAUGGCUGUCGU
rnacentral:rRNA from 1 species